rnacentral:lncRNA from 1 species
ACUAUAGCCGUUGAUGAGAGCCUAAAAAGCAUAAAGAAUUGCCUUUCCUUCUUUUAAGGGCCCACGGUUGAAUGUGCUACUUGGAUUUGAUGGAUCAGUUUGAGGAGUCUACAACAGUAAAGGAUGUUGUCAUGGGACCAUUCAAGAGAUCUCAGUCAUGAUGGAUAUAAGAUGCUGUGGAAGUUCUCUGUCAUUACUUUAAUUAAAUGCAUUAAUAAGGUUUUAAGACACCUCUGCACAGAAGUAUAUGCAAAUUCAGGAGAAUGAACUUGAAUCCAGUAAGGUAAAAGUCCUAUGUCUAAUGUGUUAACUGAAAUCCGG